rnacentral:rRNA from 1 species
UACGUAGGUGGCAAGCGUUGUCCGGAUUUACUGGGCGUAAAGGGCGCGUAGGCGGUGUGUCAAGUCAGGCGUGAAAGCCCCGGGCUCAACCUGGGAACAGCGCUUGAGACUGGCGAUCUCGAGUCCGGGAGAGGUGAGUGGAACUGCGAGUGUAGAGGUGAAAUUCGUAGAUAUUCGCAAGAACACCAGUGGCGAAGGCGGCUCACUGGCCCGGUACUGGACGCUGAGGUGCGAAAGCGUGGGGAGCAAACAGG